rnacentral:snRNA from 1 species
GGAUGUGGAGGUGACCUGGCAGCAAUAUGUGUCACCACAUUGGUCACCAGGGUUGAUUUGGCCAAUCUGGCUGGCCAAGUGUGUGUCCCUUUCCUCCCUCAACACUCCAUGUGUGCCUCUCCCAAAGCUGCCUACUCAAGCAAAAAGGAUGACCACCCUUGAGAGAAGAGGAUGUUCCUUCAUCAAGAGUAUAUGAGUAGCUCCAUUCUCUCCCACUAUAAUCUCCAAACAAGACCCCAAGAUGUUCUGAACAACAUUUUAGAAAGAGAUAAAGAAGACUGCAAUCCCAAAAACAUCAAUAGAAAU